AGAGUUUGAUCAUGGCUCAGGACGAACGCUGGCGGCGUGCCUAACACAUGCAAGUCGAACGGAGUGUUUAUUUAUAAACACUUAGUGGCGAACGGGUGAGUAACGCGUAGACAACCUACCCUCUAGAUGGGGACAACACCGCGAAAGUGGUGCUAAUACCGAAUGUUGUAAUGUUAUUGCAUAAUGAUAUUACUAAAGGUGGCCUCUAUAUAAAAGCUACCGCUAGAAGAUGGGUCUGCGUCUGAUUAGCUAGUUGGUGAGAUAACAGCUCACCAAGGCAAUGAUCAGUAGCCGGUCUGAGAGGAUGAACGGCCACACUGGGACUGAGACACGGCCCAGACUCCUACGGGAGGCAGCAGUGGGGAAUCUUCCGCAAUGGACGAAAGUCUGACGGAGCAACGCCGCGUGAGUGAAGAAGGUUUUCGGAUCGUAAAGCUCUGUCUUCAAGGACGAAUGUAGAUAUUGUGAAUAAUGAUAUUUAAUGACGGUACUUGAGGAGGAAGCCACGGCUAACUACGUGCCAGCAGCCGCGGUAAUACGUAGGUGGCAAGCGUUGUCCGGAAUUAUUGGGCGUAAAGGGAGCGCAGGUGGGAAUAUCAGUCUGUCUUAAAAGUUCGGGGCUCAACCCCGUGAUGGGAUGGAAACUAUAUUUCUUGAGUGCAGGAGAGGAAAGUGGAAUUCCUAGUGUAGCGGUGAAAUGCGUAGAUAUUAGGAGGAACACCAGUGGCGAAGGCGACUUUCUGGACUGUAACUGACACUGAGGCUCGAAAGCCAGGGUAGUGAACGGGAUUAGAUACCCCGGUAGU
rnacentral:rRNA from 1 species